CCCGCUCAGGAAUGAAGCCCAAAAACCGACAAACCGAUUAUGGUGAUCUGAUCUAGGCUCAGCAACCACCUCAAGAUGAAGAGAAAAAAAACAGUGGACCAAAACCCAGAUGAAGAACAGUUCCCAAUGAAGGUGUUUGUGGACCAGGGCCACUGAACUGGAACAUCGUUCUAGAAACAAAACUAUUGAUUCUAAUGUGGAGCUGAAGGCCGCGCUCAGCUUGUGCAGUAAAUGAGCAGUCAGGUGUUUCGAUCAGCGUGAGAACGAUGUGAAGCUGUGGAGAUGAAACGGAGGCUGGCCUCUGGUGACUGUGUUUUGGUUGCACUGACAAAGAAAACAAAGUCUGAAGUGUGGAAAAGUUCUGACCAUGUGUAUGAUGAGAAUAAUGAGCCAGUGGUUAUAUGAAGAUGCAAAAUAUGUGACAUUCUGUUAAAGUAUGUUAGUCGUGAAUAAAUAAUGUUAAAAAAUGUACAAAUGAUUAAUUGUUGACAGAAGACAAUAGAGCUGUGUGUGUUCAAACUGUACAUAUCAGGCUCGAGCCAUGUCAGGUUAACUUUCAAGACCCGAUUACAGCUCAAUUAUAAUGUUCCUUAACAUUUGAAUCCAUCCAUUGUGCCUGUCAUGUAUUCAUUCAUUCAGGUGUUACAAACUGAAUGUAGACUGUUACCAGGUUCUGUUGGAGUUUUGUUCUGUGCUGAAAAAAGUUUAAUAAUAUUUGUAUUUUUUUACUGUAGCUAUGAAUUUAAGAAAGAUGUUGAGCAUGACUGAAUUCAAAAAAUUGUUGUCCAUGAAUUGAUUUUAUAAAAUGUUUUUACUGGAGUGUUUUUUAUUAUUAAAUAUAUUCAGC